UACAGAGGUGGCAAGCGUUGUUCGGAAUUACUGGGCGUAAAGGGCGCGUAGGCGGCCUUCUAAGUCAGACGUGAAAUCCCCCGGCUUAACCUGGGAACUGCGUCUGAUACUGGGAGGCUUGAGUAUGGGAGAGGGAUGUAGAAUUCCAGGUGUAGCGGUGAAAUGCGUAGAUAUCUGGAGGAAUACCGGUGGCGAAGGCGAGUCCCUGGAAAACACCUGACACUGAGGCACGAAAGCUAGGGGAGCAAACAGG
rnacentral:rRNA from 1 species